rnacentral:rRNA from 1 species
GGUUGAUCCUGCCAGUCUACAAAGCUUGACUUGGAAAUUAAGCCAUGCAUGUCUAAGUAUAAGUUACACAAAGCGAAACUGCGAAUGGCUCAUUACAACAGUUGUAAUUUAUUUGAUGAUUUUUUUACAUGGAUAACCGUGGGAAACUAGGGCUAAUACAUGCGUAAAGCUUUCGGGCUGUAUUUAUUAGUUUCAGACCAAUGCGGCUCAAACCGCUUUGUGAGGAAUCAAGAUAACUGAUCGAAGCCAAUCUUUUGGCUAAAUCAUUCGAGCUUCUGACCUAUCAGCUUGUU